CCUUACUGCUCAGUAACACGUAGUCAACCUGCCCUCGGGACGAGAACAAUCUCGGGAAACUGAGGCUAAUUCUUGAUAGGUCAAGAUUCCUGGAAUGGGUUUUGACCCAAAGGGCGUGGCAGCAUCUUGCCAUUUUCGCCCGAGGAUGGGACUGCGGCCGAUCAGGCUGUUGGUGGGGUAAAGGCCCACCAAACCAGUAACCGGUACGGGCUUUGAGAGAAGGAGCCCGGAGAUGGACACUGAGACAAGGGUCCAGGUCCUACGGGGCGCAGCGGGCGCGAAACCUUCGCAAUGUGCGAAAGCACGACGAGGUUAUUCCGAGUGAUCUCCGCUGAGGAGAUCUUUUCUCAGAUCUAAAACGUCUGGGGAAUAAGGGGAGGGCAAGUCUGGUGUCAGCCGCCGCGGUAAUACCAGCUCCUCGAGUGGUCAGGGCGUUUAUUGGGCCUAAAGCAUCCGUAGCCGGCUCAGUUGGUCUCCUGUUAAAUCCAACGGCUCAACCGUUGGUCUGCAGGAGAUACCGCUGGGCUAGGAGGCGGGAGAGGCGGACGGUACUCCGAGGGUAGGGGUAAAAUCCUUUGAUCCCCGGAAGACCACCAGUGGCGAAGGCGGUCCGCCAGAACGCGCUCGACGGUGAGGGAUGAAAGCUGGGGGAGCGAACCGGAUUAGAUACCCGGGUAGUCCCAGCUGUAAACGAUGCGAGCUAGGUGACACGACGCCUUCGGGGCGUCGUGGUGCCGCAGGGAAGCCGUUAAGCUCGCCGCCUGGGGAGUACGGACGCAAGUCUGAAACUUAAAGGAAUUGGCGGGGGAGCACAAGG
rnacentral:rRNA from 1 species